GUGCUUGCUUCAGCAACACAUAUACCAAAAUUGGAACGAUACUGAGAAGAUUAGCAUAGCCCUUGAGCAAGGAUGACAUGCAAACUUGUGAGGCAUUUCAUACUUUA
rfam:Pteropus alecto contig167392, whole genome shotgun sequence.